rnacentral:rRNA from 1 species
UACGUAGGGUGCAAGCGUUGUCCGGAAUCAUUGGGCGUAAAGAGCGUGUAGGCGGUUCGGUAAGUCCGCUGUGAAAGCCGGGGGCUCAACCCUCGGAUGCCGGUGGAUACUGUCAAGCUCGAGUCCGGAAGAGGCGAGUGGAAUUCCUGGUGUAGCGGUGAAAUGCGCAGAUAUCAGGAGGAACACCAAUGGCGAAGGCAGCUCGCUGGGACGUGACUGACGCUGAGACGCGAAAGCGUGGGGAGCAAACAGG